rnacentral:lncRNA from 1 species
GCCCGCGCCAACUCGCGCAUGCCCGAGUGAGGGGCUCCGCCCUCUCGAACCGCCCCGCCAAACCGGUUCCAGCUGGAACGCAAUGCGUGGUCUGUACGGGAGUUGGAGUGGCCGUCCGUCCCUGCGGGCUCACCCUGGUGGCGACGCCUCGCUGUAGAUGGUGGCAGAGUGUCAUAAGGGGCAGUGUCCUUUUCUUAACUCGGCACAAAAGUACUACAUGGACCAGCUGCAGCUCUGGCCAGAAGCCUGGCGAUCUGGUGGCUCCGGCUCUCCUAGGUGGCAGAAACUCAGAGGAGGGAGAUACUGCUGCCUUGGGGAGCCCUCUGGGCUCUGUGGUGCUUCUGUGGCUUCAGCCACCACCCACUGCCAGCUACCAGCCACCAACCACAGGACAGGCCCUCCCUACCCUGCCACGCCUCAUCUUGGAGCUCGUGAGCACUAAGUCGGGAAGAAGCCAGGGACAGAACCCGAUUCCCCAAGAAGCCAAGCUUGCUCGACUCCAUCAGUCCUCUAGUCCGGAAUGCUCUCUAGAUCCCCGUCCCUGCUGAGCUCAGGCUCUCGGUCAGACAAGCCACACCCACACUGACCAUCUUCACCAUCUUCAGCGGUUCUCUACUCUGCCCAUCGAGACCUUCCUUCCUUCAGUCUCCUGUAUAAAAAGGAUGUAUCUGCAGCUCUUAGAAAAGCUGCCUCUAAGGUUGCAUUAAGACAGGGAGAGGCCUAACAAGGAUAGUCCUACUCAGUGCUGAGUCUCCACGGUAAGGCAGAGAGAGAAGUGGGGUGCACAGCGGGGCUGUGAACUGAAUGACAAGAGGCUAGGAGCGAGUGGGGCUGAAAAGCCAAGCACUCCGCACGCUCACCACAGGCCAUGGGGCACACAGUCCCCGGCUAGCUCUCUGAGGGGUGAUGUGUGGAAGGGAAGAUGGGUUCUUCGGGCCGCCCGGGCCUUGAUGCUGUUGGAGGUCUCUGGACACCCUCCUUCCUCCUCUUCUGUUGCCACCCCCCAGCCCCCACCCCGAGUCCAGGGACGGAGUGAACGCCACCUCUCUACACGCGCUGUCACUGUUGAUGUCCUGGCACACAACGCUACCUACACCUGACACUUCUACACUCAGGUUCCCUACCCAGUGUGCCCCUCAAACUCCAGACUCACCUAACUGCCUCCUUGGUAACUCACUCCUCAUGCCUGAUAGAGCCCCCCAUCUGUUCCUCCCACCAGCUCAAGUCAGAAAGCAGGGCACGCUGCUCUCUGCUCCUUCCAGUGGGCUCAAUAGCAACAGUCGUGUCUUCACCACGUCCUCCGACUCCUGUCUCUCAACCUCCACAGCCCUGCCUGGGGCUACCCCACACAGGCAAAUCCUGCCCUUAGAACAACAACAAAA